AAGGAUGAAGUAUGCAUACCCUACAGGAUCACAGGCAGUCAAGCAGGAAGGGAAGUUUUAGUGACCUAGACCUAGCAAUAGGAAGACCAAUCUCUACACUGUGGACAGAAGUAGAAAUGGUGAUGGAUGGUCUGGCAAGAUGCAUUUGGCUUCUCAGGGAAGAACAGGGGUGGCCUCCAAAGACCGAUGAAACCAAGGAAAGAGGGAAUUUUUUCUAGUAGAAAAUGCAUCUCUCUGAUCAAAGAAGGAAUAAUGCUUAUAUAACACUUAUUCAGGUAGACUCCUUCGGUGUCUUUACAGACAGGUGUCAAGUGUUAAAUGAAGAAGGAACAAUUAAAAUUUCUUCUGGAUGUUGCAUCAAGUCUAGCAGCGAUCAUUCUACCAUAGAUCUCUCAGCCAAUCCUCACAGGAGGUGUUCCAUCCUGUGG